rnacentral:rRNA from 1 species
AUGGCUGAGACGGGAGGCGCACGUUGUUUGCAUGCAAGCCUUGAUGUGUUGGCUUCUGAUGUUCACUCCAGGCUGGAGUUCCACAAGAGUGCCUAUACGGACUACGCCGGCAUCAACAAUGCGCUUCACUGUGUCAUGGAGGAAAAAGCAAAUCUUGAGCUACAACAGAAUGCUGUCACUGAAAAGGACAAACUGAUCACUGAAAAGGACAAACUGAUUGCUGAACUGAAAACAAGGAAUGAAGAACAGGCAGCAGAGAUUGAAUCUCUAAAGGAAGAGCUGGAAGCAAGGGAGUCAAGCCAUGUACUACUAGCACUGCAGGGAAGUGGUCUUCAGAGUAGCCAGUCUGGAAGAAAUAAACGGACACGAGAAUCUGAUGGCAACGGUGAAGUUGCUGAUGAGCAUGGUGUUAUGGACAAUCCUGAUCAAGAUGAUCAAGGUUUAAGCACUGAGCUUGAGAAUGCUAAAAAGGAACUUUCUGAUAUCCACUCUAAGCUGAUCAAGGGAUUCAUGGAUAUUAGUGCUACUUCAACACGGAAUAUUGCAAUAAAGAAUAUAGGCGAAUUGAGCUACAAGCCGUUCCAACAGGCAUGCCUUAAGAAGCUGCCUCCAGAAGAAGCUUCGAAGAAAGCUUCUGAGUUUUACAACUUUUGGCAGAAGCAGCUGCUGAACCCAGAGUGGAAUCCCUCCAAAACUGUCAUGGAGAAAGGUAACCCUGAGGAAGGUAUCUCUAAGGAGAUUGAUGUCCAUGAUGCCGAUCUGCUAAAGCUACGUGCUGAAUGGGGUGAAGACGUGUACAAGGCUGUGGCGAAUUGUUUGGUGGAAAUCGAAAAAUGUGGCAGGCUGACGGACAGAACCAUCAUACCCGUGAUUUGGCAUCAAAAGGCGGACAGGACAGCCACUCGCAGUGAAAGUGUUGAGUACAUGUGCAGCCAAGUGAGGCGUCUGAGAACUCGCAGGAACUGA